rnacentral:rRNA from 9 species
UUAAAUUGAAGAGUUUGAUCAUGGCUCAGAUUGAACGCUGGCGGCAGGCCUAACACAUGCAAGUCGAACGGUAACAGGAAGCAGCUUGCUGCUUUGCUGACGAGUGGCGGACGGGUGAGUAAUGUCUGGGAAACUGCCUGAUGGAGGGGGAUAACUACUGGAAACGGUGGCUAAUACCGCAUAACGUCGCAAGACCAAAGAGGGGGACCUUCGGGCCUCUUGCCAUCAGAUGUGCCCAGAUGGGAUUAGCUUGUUGGUGAGGUAACGGCUCACCAAGGCGACGAUCCCUAGCUGGUCUGAGAGGAUGACCAGCCACACUGGAACUGAGACACGGUCCAGACUCCUACGGGAGGCAGCAGUGGGGAAUAUUGCACAAUGGGCGCAAGCCUGAUGCAGCCAUGCCGCGUGUAUGAAGAAGGCCUUCGGGUUGUAAAGUACUUUCAGCGGGGAGGAAGGUGUUGUGGUUAAUAACCGCAGCAAUUGACGUUACCCGCAGAAGAAGCACCGGCUAACUCCGUGCCAGCAGCCGCGGUAAUACGGAGGGUGCAAGCGUUAAUCGGAAUUACUGGGCGUAAAGCGCACGCAGGCGGUCUGUCAAGUCGGAUGUGAAAUCCCCGGGCUCAACCUGGGAACUGCAUUCGAAACUGGCAGGCUUGAGUCUUGUAGAGGGGGGUAGAAUUCCAGGUGUAGCGGUGAAAUGCGUAGAGAUCUGGAGGAAUACCGGUGGCGAAGGCGGCCCCCUGGACAAAGACUGACGCUCAGGUGCGAAAGCGUGGGGAGCAAACAGGAUUAGAUACCCUGGUAGUCCACGCCGUAAACGAUGUCUACUUGGAGGUUGUGCCCUUGAGGCGUGGCUUCCGGAGCUAACGCGUUAAGUAGACCGCCUGGGGAGUACGGCCGCAAGGUUAAAACUCAAAUGAAUUGACGGGGGCCCGCACAAGCGGUGGAGCAUGUGGUUUAAUUCGAUGCAACGCGAAGAACCUUACCUGGUCUUGACAUCCACAGAACUUUCCAGAGAUGGAUUGGUGCCUUCGGGAACUGUGAGACAGGUGCUGCAUGGCUGUCGUCAGCUCGUGUUGUGAAAUGUUGGGUUAAGUCCCGCAACGAGCGCAACCCUUAUCCUUUGUUGCCAGCGAUUAGGUCGGGAACUCAAAGGAGACUGCCAGUGAUAAACUGGAGGAAGGUGGGGAUGACGUCAAGUCAUCAUGGCCCUUACGACCAGGGCUACACACGUGCUACAAUGGCGCAUACAAAGAGAAGCGACCUCGCGAGAGCAAGCGGACCUCAUAAAGUGCGUCGUAGUCCGGAUUGGAGUCUGCAACUCGACUCCAUGAAGUCGGAAUCGCUAGUAAUCGUGGAUCAGAAUGCCACGGUGAAUACGUUCCCGGGCCUUGUACACACCGCCCGUCACACCAUGGGAGUGGGUUGCAAAAGAAGUAGGUAGCUUAACCUUCGGGAGGGCGCUUACCACUUUGUGAUUCAUGACUGGGGUGAAGUCGUAACAAGGUAACCGUAGGGGAACCUGCGGUUGGAUCACCUCCUUACCUUAAAGAA